GCCUUCAUGGUGCAAUUGGUAGCAUACUCGACAUGUGUUCAAGAGGUCCAGGGUUCGAGUCCCGGUGAAGGCA